CGGACCGGCGCACGGGUGAGUAACACGUAUCCAACCUGCCGUCUACUCUUGGACAGCCUUCUGAAAGGAAGAUUAAUACAAGAUGGCAUCAUGAGUCCGCAUGUUCACAUGAUUAAAGGUAUUCCGGUAGACGAUGGGGGAUGCGUUCCAUUAGGUUGUUGGCGGGGUAACGGCCCACCAAGCCUUCGAUGGAUAGGGGUUCUGAGAGGAAGGUCCCCCACAUUGGAACUGAGACACGGUCCAAACUCCUACGGGAGGCAGCAUG
rnacentral:rRNA from 1 species